rnacentral:rRNA from 1 species
GAUGAACGCUGGCGGCGUGCUUAACACAUGCAAGUCGAACGGAAAGGCUCCUGCUUGCAGGGGUACUCGAGUGGCGAACGGGUGAGUAACACGUGGGUGAUCUGCCCUGCACUUCGGGAUAAGCCUGGGAAACUGGGUCUAAUACCGGAUAGGACGAUGGUUUGGAUGCCAUUGUGGAAAGUUUUUCGGUGUGGGAUGAGCUCGCGGCCUAUCAGCUGGUUGGUGGGGUAAUGGCCUACCAAGGCGUCGACGGGGAGCCGGCCUGAGAGGGUGUACGGCCACCUUGGGCCUGCGAUACGGCCCAGACUCCUACGGGAGGCAGCAGUGGGGAAUAUUGCACAAUGGGCGCAAGCCUGAUGCAGCGACGCCGCGUGGGGGAUGACGGCCUUCGGGUUGUAAACUCCUUUCGCUAGGGACGAAGCGCAAGUGACGGUACCUGGAGAAGAAGCACCGGCUAACUACGUG